rnacentral:misc_RNA from 1 species
GGCCGCUUUUCAACCGUAUUCGAAUGUAGAUCAAGGUUGAAAAUUUAAUGAACAUUGCGAGUAUCGUGAGCGGCACCGCCCUCUCCCACCUCACCUUUACUAUAUUAAUAAAGGAAAGAAAGACAGGAAGUGGUCCCCACCCACCAUUACCACAAAAAGACAAUAUUAUCCCUUCCACUUCCUUCUAUUUACUAUACCACUUACCUACUCUCUCCUCUCUCCCUCUCCUCUUUUCUCUCUCUAACAAUACAUUUUAGCAAUUUAUCCUACUCUUUUCUAUCUGUCUUUAGAAACAGAUUUUUUUUUUUCUUGUCAAAAAACAAAAAUAAGAAAAAUUCUCUCUUUCUAUCUCAUCAUGGACCCACCCCCACC